rnacentral:rRNA from 1 species
CAAUAGCGUAUAUUAAAGUUGUUGCAGUUAAAAAGCUCGUAGUUGAAUUUCUGGCGGGCGCGCCGGUCUUCCAAGUGUUGUACUGGGCGCAGUCCGCCAUCCUUGUGGAGAGGGCUCGCAUUGAGUUGCGUGUCGGAUCUGCAUCAUUUACUGUGAAAAAAUUAGAGUGUUUAAAGCAGGCUGUCGCUUGAAUACAUUAGCAUGGAAUAAUAAGAUAGGACUUCGGUCUAUUUUGUUGGUUGCGAACCGAGGUAAUGAUUAAUAGGGAUAGUUGGGGGUAUUCAUAUUUAAUUGUCAGAGGUGAAAUUCUUGGAUUUAUGAAAGAUGAACAACUGCGAAANCANNNACCAAGGAUGUUUACAUNAA